rnacentral:rRNA from 1 species
ACUAAGCAUAUCAAUAAGCGGAGGAAAAGAAACUAACAAGGAUUCCCCUAGUAACUGCGAGUGAAGCGGGAAAAGCUCAAAUUUAAAAUCUGGCAGUCUCUGGCUGUCCGAGUUGUAAUCUAGAGAAGUAAUGCCCGUGCUGGACCGUGUAUAAGUCUCCUGGGAUGGGGCGUCAUAGAGGGUGAGAAUCCCGUCUUUGACACGGACUACCAGUGCAUUGUGGUAUGCUCUCAAAGAGUCGAGUUGUUUGGGAAUGCAGCUCAAAAUGGGUGGUAAAUUCCAUCUAAAGCUAAAUAUUGGCGAGAGACCGAUAGCGAACAAGUACCGUGAGGGAAAGAUGAAAAGAACUUUGGAAAGAGAGUUAAACAGUACGUGAAAUUGCUGAAAGGGAAACGCUUGAAGUCAGUCGCGUUGGCCGGGAAUCAGCCUUGCUUUUGCAUGGUGUACUUUCUGGUUGACGGGUCAGCAUCAAUUUUGACCGCUGGAAAAAGGCCUGGGGAAUGUGGCAGCUUCGGCUGUGUUAUAGCCCCUAGUUGCAUACAGUGGUUGGGAUUGAGGAACUCAGCACGCCGCAAGGCCGGGUUUCGACCACGUUCGUGCUUAGGAUGCUGGCAUAAUGGCUUUAAGCGACCCGUCUUGAAACACGGACCAAGGAGUCUAACAUGCCUGCGAGUAUUUGGGUGGAAAACUCAAGUGCGUAAUGAAAGUGAAAGUUGAGAUCCCUGUCGUGGGGAGCAUCGACGCCCGGACCAGAACUUUUGGGACGGAUCCGCGGUGGAGCAUGUAUGUUGGGACCCGAAAGAUGGUGAACUAUGCCUGAAUAGGGUGAAGCCAGAGGAAACUCUGGUGGAGGCUCGUAGCGAUUCUGACGUGCAAAUCGAUCGUCAAAUUUGGGUAUAGGGGCGAAAGACUAAUCGAACCAUCUAGUAGCUGGUUCCUGCCGAAUUCCCCCUC